UACUUUCAGGGCGGGGUGAAAUUCCCCACCGGCGGUAUCCCGGCUCGGCCGGGGAGCCCGCGAGCGCUCCUGCAUGGGCAGGAGGUCAGCAGAUCCGGUGAAAUGCCGGAGCCGACGGUAAUAGUCCGGAUGAAAGAGGGUA
rnacentral:ncRNA from 1 species